rnacentral:rRNA from 1 species
UACGUAGGGUCCGAGCGUUGUCCGGAAUUACUGGGCGUAAAGAGCUCGUAGGUGGUUUGUCGCGUUGUUCGUGAAAACUCACAGCUCAACUGUGGGCGUGCGGGCGAUACGGGCAGACUUGAGUACUGCAGGGGAGACUGGAAUUCCUGGUGUAGCGGUGGAAUGCGCAGAUAUCAGGAGGAACACCGGGUGGCGAAGGCGGGUCUCCGGGCCGAUACUGACGC